rnacentral:tRNA from 1 species
UCCCUGGUGGUCCAGUGGUUAAGACUCUGAGCUUCCACCCCAGGGGCCGAAGGUUCAAUCCCUGGUCAGGGAA